rnacentral:rRNA from 1 species
CGCAUCUGUGCAUGCAGCAUAUCAAUAAGCGGAGGAAAAGAAACUAACAAGGAUUCCCUUAGUAACGGCGAGUGAAGCGGGAAGAGCUCAAAUUUGAAAUCUUCAAGGUUUUACCUUGACGAAUUGUAGUUUAAAGAAGUGUUUCUCUGUUGAAGUUUUGGUAAAAGUUCUUUGGAAUAGGACAUCAUAGAGGGUGAGAAUCCCGUAUUUGACCAUUAUUUUCAGCUGUGUGAUACACUUUCAAAGAGUCGGAUUGUUUGGGAAUGCAGUCCAAAAUGGGUGGUAAAUUUCAUCUAAAGCUAAAUAUUGGCGAGAGACCGAUAGCGAACAAGUACCGUGAGGGAAAGAUGAAAAGAACUUUGAAAAGAGAGUUAAACAGUACGUGAAAUUGUCAAAAGGGAAGCGUUUGACACCAGUGUUGUUUUCUCGAAAAUCUAAUUAAAAAGAGUUAGAUUUUGUUGUGUAUUGACCUUAACAGCUUGCAUUUCAAUUUUCUUGCUUUUUUUAAUGCACUUUUCGUUUAACAAGUCAACAUCAGUUUCUUUUGUUGUAAAAAGGUCAUUGGAAGGUGGCUUUCUCUUCGGAGAAAGUGUUUAUAGCCUUUGACUCCUGCAAUCGGAGAGACUGAGGUCUGCAGCGUAGAUCCUUCGGGGUUAGAUACAUUUGUGCUAAGUUAUAGCUUUUUAUAGACAACUUGUUGACUAUGAUUAGUCUUGUAGCUUACUCGCUUAUGCUAUUUUACCUACGCUUAGGAUGUUGACACACGCGCGUGCUCG